AAUUAGGAACUAUAUUUACUCGCUGGAUUACUGAUUAUAUUGAUCUGUGUGUUAACUAGAAUUGUUGGGUAUUCGUAGUGGUGGAUUGGUUGAAUUGGUGGACUGGUGAAUUCCGUUUUCUUGUUGGUGGUUGAGAUGGGUUGUUUUACAGAUUUAAGUGGGGGUUUUAUUGUGUUUAAUCAGAUGUGAUUAGAUGUAUUUUU
rnacentral:lncRNA from 1 species